rnacentral:rRNA from 1 species
AUUGAACGCUGGCGGCAGGCCUAACACAUGCAAGUCGAGCGGAUGAAGGGAGCUUGCUCCUGGAUUCAGCGGCUGACGGGUGAGUAAUUCCUAUGAAUCUGCCUGGUAGUGGGGUAUAACGUCCGGAAACGGGCGCUAAUACCGCAUACGUCCUGAGGGAGAUAGUGGGGGAUCUUCGGACCUCACGCUAUCCGAUUAUUCUAGGUCGGAUUAGCUAGUUGGUGGGGUAAAGGCCUACCAAGGCUACGAUCCGUAACUUGUCUGAGAGGAUGAUCAGUCACACUGGAAAUGAGACACGGUCAAGACUACUACGGGAGGCAGAAGUGGGGAAUAUUGGACAAUGGGCGAAAGCCUGAUACAGAAAUGACGCGUGUGUGAAGAAGGUCUUAGGAUUGUAAAGCACUUUAAGUUGGGAGGAAGGGAAGUAAGAUAAUACAUUGCUGUUGUGGCGUUAACAACAGAAUAAGCACCGGCUAACUUCGUG